rnacentral:rRNA from 1 species
GAUUAACGCUAGCGGCAGGCCUAAUACAUGCAAGUCGAACGGUAACAGGUGUAGCAAUACAUGCUGACGAGUGGCGCACGGGUGCGUAACACGUAUGCAACCUACCUAUAACUGGGGAAUAGCCUUCCGAAAGGAAGAUUAACUCCGCAUAAUACUACAGAGAGGCAUCUCCCUGUAGUUAAACCUCCGGGGGUUAUAGAUGGGCAUGCGUUCGAUUAGUUAGUUGGCGAGGAACGGCUCACCAAGACUACGAUCGAGUAGGGGGUCUGAGAGGAUGACUCCCCCA